CGGCGGACGGGUGAGUAACGCGUGGGUAACCUGCCUCAUACAGGGGGAUAACAGUUGGAAACGGCUGCUAAUACCGCAUAAGCGCACAGUACCGCAUGGUACGGUGUGAAAAACUCCGGUGGUAUGAGAUGGACCCGCGUCUGAUUAGGUAGUUGGUGGGGUAACGGCCUACCAGGCCGACGAUCAGUAGCCGACCUGAGAGGGUGACCGGCCACAUUGGGACUGAGACACGGCCCAA
rnacentral:rRNA from 1 species